rnacentral:rRNA from 1 species
UACGUAGGGGGCAAGCGUUAUCCGGAUUUACUGGGUGUAAAGGGAGCGCAGACGGCAGUGCAAGUCUGGAGUGAAAGCCCGGGGCCCAACCCCGGGGCUGCAUUGGGAACUGCCAGGCUGGAGUGCCGGAGAGGCAGGCGGAAUUCCUAGUGUAGCGGUGAAAUGCGUAGAUAUUAGGAGGAACACCAGUGGCGAAGGCGGCCUGCUGGACGGUGACUGACGCUGAGGCUCGAAAGCGUGGGGAGCAAACAGG